UUACCUGUGUGACUGCGUACCUUUUGUAUAAUGGGUCAGCGACUUAUAUUCUGUAGCAAGGUUAACCGUAUAGGGGAGCCGGAGGGAAACCGAGUCUUAAUUGGGCGUUAAGUUGCAGGGUAUAGACCCGAAACCCGGUGAUCUAGCCAUGGGCAGGUUGAAGGUUGGGUAACACUAACUGGAGGACCGAACCGACUAAUGUUGAAAAAUUAGCGGAUGACCUGUGGCUGGGGGUGAAAGGCCAAUCAAACCGGGAGAUAGCUGGUUCUCCCCGAAAGCUAUUUAGGUAGCGCCUCGUGAAUUCAUCUCCGGGGGUAGAGCACUGUUUCGGCUAGGGGGCCAUCCCGGCUUACCAACCCGAUGCAAACUGCGAAUACCGGAGAAUGUUAUCACGGGAGACACACGGCGGGUGCUAACGUCCGUCGUGAAGAGGGAAACAACCCAGACCGCCAGCUAAGGUCCCAAAGUCAUGGUUAAGUGGGAAACGAUGUGGGAAGGCCCAGACAGCCAGGAUGUUGGCUUAGAAGCAGCCAUCAUUUAAAGAAAGCGUAAUAGCUCACUGGUCGAGUCGGCCUGCGCGGAAGAUGUAACGGGGCUAAACCAUGCACCGAAGCUGCGGCAGCGAACGUAUCACUUAAAGCGAUUCAGCGGGUUACGAUUGACGGAGCGAAGCGACGUCAAAGCGUAUACAAAGUCGAGUCGGUUUAAGGAUACGUUCGUUGGGUAGGGGAGCGUUCUGUAAGCCUGUGAAGGUGGCCUGUGAGGGUUGCUGGAGGUAUCAGAAGUGCGAAUGCUGACAUAAGUAACGAUAAAGCGGGUGAAAAGCCCGCUCGCCGGAAGACCAAGGGUUCCUGUCCAACGUUAAUCGGGGCAGGGUGAGUCGACCCCUAAGGCGAGGCCGAAAGGCGUAGUCGAUGGGAAACGGGUUAAUAUUCCCGUACUUGGUGUUACUGCGAAGGGGGGACGGAGAAGGCUAUGUUGGCCGGGCGACGGUUGUCCCGGUUUAAGCGUGUAGGUGUGUGUUCCAGGUAAAUCCGGUUCACUUUAACACUGAGGCGUGAUGACGAGGCACUACGGUGCUGAAGCAACAAAUGCCCUGCUUCCAGGAAAAGCCUCUAAGCAUCAGGUAACAUCAAAUCGUACCCCAAACCGACACAGGUGGUCAGGUAGAGAAUACCAAGGCGCUUGAGAGAACUCGGGUGAAGGAACUAGGCAAAAUGGUGCCGUAACUUCGGGAGAAGGCACGCUGACACGUAGGUGAAGUGAUUUACUCAUGGAGCUGAAGUCAGUCGAAGAUACCAGCUGGCUGCAACUGUUUAUUAAAAACACAGCACUGUGCAAACACGAAAGUGGACGUAUACGGUGUGACGCCUGCCCGGUGCCGGAAGGUUAAUUGAUGGGGUCAGCGCAAGCGAAGCUCCUGAUCGAAGCCCCGGUAAACGGCGGCCGUAACUAUAACGGUCCUAAGGUAGCGAAAUUCCUUGUCGGGUAAGUUCCGACCUGCACGAAUGGCGUAAUGAUGGCCAGGCUGUCUCCACCCGAGACUCAGUGAAAUUGAACUCGCUGUGAAGAUGCAGUGUACCCGCGGCAAGACGGAAAGACCCCGUGAACCUUUACUAUAGCUUGACACUGAACAUUGAGCCUUGAUGUGUAGGAUAGGUGGGAGGCUUUGAAGCGUGGACGCCAGUCUGCGUGGAGCCGACCUUGAAAUACCACCCUUUAAUGUUUGAUGUUCUAACGUGGACCCGUAAUCCGGGUUGCGGACAGUGUCUGGUGGGUAGUUUGACUGGGGCGGUCUCCUCCUAAAGAGUAACGGAGGAGCACGAAGGUUGGCUAAUCCUGGUCGGACAUCAGGAGGUUAGUGCAAUGGCAUAAGCCAGCUUGACUGCGAGCGUGACGGCGCGAGCAGGUGCGAAAGCAGGUCAUAGUGAUCCGGUGGUUCUGAAUGGAAGGGCCAUCGCUCAACGGAUAAAAGGUACUCCGGGGAUAACAGGCUGAUACCGCCCAAGAGUUCAUAUCGACGGCGGUGUUUGGCACCUCGAUGUCGGCUCAUCACAUCCUGGGGCUGAAGUAGGUCCCAAGGGUAUGGCUGUUCGCCAUUUAAAGUGGUACGCGAGCUGGGUUUAGAACGUCGUGAGACAGUUCGGUCCCUAUCUGCCGUGGGCGCUGGAGAACUGAGGGGGGCUGCUCCUAGUACGAGAGGACCGGAGUGGACGCAUCACUGGUGUUCGGGUUGUCAUGCCAAUGGCACUGCCCGGUAGCUAAAUGCGGAAGAGAUAAGUGCUGAAAGCAUCUAAGCACGAAACUUGCCCCGA
rnacentral:rRNA from 1 species